UACGUAGGGGGCAAGCGUUGUCCGGAUUUAUUGGGCGUAAAGAGCGCGCAGGCGGUCGUUCAAGUCGCGUGUGAAAGCCCCCGGCUCAACUGGGGAGGGUCACGCGAUACUGAUCGACUCGAAGGCAGGAGAGGGUAGUGGAAUUCCCGGUGUAGUGGUGAAAUGCGUAGAUAUCGGGAGGAACACCAGUGGCGAAGGCGACUACCUGGCCUGUUCUUGACGCUGAGGCGCGAAAGCUAGGGGAGCAAACGGGG
rnacentral:rRNA from 1 species